rnacentral:lncRNA from 1 species
CGAGUCUUCACAACUCCGUCAUACAAAAAUGUCUCCAAAUUGUUUUUAAUCACUCUCAAUUUCUGGACUUUUUCUGUGAUUGCAGCAUCCUUACUGAGAUGUGAAUUUGAAUGAGGAAAAAUGGUGUUCCCAGACUUCCAUGUCCAGGAGAGAUGAAUUUAAGACUUUGUCAUGAGUCAACGGUGGCCUCUCUAAGCUGGGUUACUGCCUGUGAGCAGUUCAAGCACACCUCCAGAGCCAGCGUUACCAGAAGGGCUGUGAUAAUGCAUGAUUAGUCCAAAUCCCUGGGAAGAAGCAAGGCAGCUGGGACUACUAAGCCUGGCAUCACUGGAUUGUAGUGAUCGGGUUGUGCACUGGAGUAGGGAGACACCUGGAAGCCAUUUCCUGCUUGUGAACUGAUCUCCCUCCCCCUUCCUCUCAAAGAUAAGUAUAUGCAAUGUGGCUUUUGGCCACAGAGAGUUUUUUCAGAUUUGUAGUGUCAGGAAGGUUUGCUUUAAAGGCACAAAUCCAGGUCUUUCCUUACAUAUAAAACUUCAAAGGACCAAUUUUUUCCCCUCUGAUGUCUUCCCCCCCUGCCCCAGUCUCUUCUAACUUCAGAUUUUUCCAACUCUGAAAAAGUCUUUGCAAUUUCAUCUUGAAACUGGCAAGUGAACUUUAACAGACUAGAGACUGCUUAGGUACUGCACUGAGCUUUCACACAGAGAAUGACAAAGCCACUGAUGGUUGCUUUCUAGCCAUGCCUCACUAACAUACAACAGGUUAAGAUUUCCACCCCCCCACCACUCUUAAAUACUUGAAGUUUCCUUGGCUGUGCACAGCAAGCACAUAUUUUGUCCAUGAAAAUGCCUUUGAGCAGUAUCUCUUUUGUCAGUUAGGUUUCUCUUGUGCAUUGUAAUUCUUGCCAGGAGACAUCUCUUGACUGUUUUUUGUUGCCUCUGGAACUAUUUCAUUUGGCAGAACGGUCUGUUUUAGCUAUUGGGCAAGGUGUUGGUCCCCCCAAAGUCAACAGGAGUGACUAAAUUCUAAGAUGCCAGAAUUUUUUACCUCCUGUUAUUAAAAAUGCUUAAGACUAGAAGCAUGCAAUGCUUCAUCCGUUUGAAAAUGCUUCAGCCUUUUCUGUGGAACUGCUGGUCUUAGAAAAACUAAUAGCAGAGGUAGAACAUUCUUAUGCUUCUGAUACAAGUUUAUAUACAACCUCCAAAUAAUUAAUUUUCUUUUUGCUAAAAGAAAUCUCAGUUUUUAUAACUGAAGUCUAGAAAUUUUUUGUAACAAAUUUAAAAAAAAGAGAUAGUCAAAUCUUAGGAUGCCAAUAAAAAUGUUUUGUGAAGUCUCA